CAGGAAGCAGGUGGUGAGUUUAAUAUAAACGAACAUGGCACAAUACAAAACAAGACAUGAAUCUGACAGGAAAACAGAACCAAUACUGCCUGGACGCAAUUCAUGCUUCCCUUGGGACGAGGAGAGGAGGCUUUCUGCUAAACAAAAGCCUUUUAAUUUCUACCAUUUUUCACCAAGUGCCGCACUUCCAGAAGUCUUCAGACGGCCAGACAAAUGGGUUAGGACUUGAUGUGGUAAACCUUGAUGUUUAUUGUUACUGACUAAACUAUUGACAAAUUCUCUGAAACGACAUUGGAGUUGGCUUAUGGUAGAGAAAUUAACAUUAAGUUAUCUGGCAACAGCUCUGGUGGACAUUC